rnacentral:rRNA from 1 species
AGAUGGCUUUGGCUAUCACUCUGGGAUGGACCUGCGGUGCAUUAGCUAGUUGGUAAGGUAACGGCUUACCAAGGCGAUGAUGCAUAGCCGAGUUGAGAGACUGAUCGGCCACAAUGGAACUGAGACACGGUCCAUACUCCUACGGGAGGCAGCAGUAGGGAAUCUUCCACAAUGGGCGCAAGCCUGAUGGAGCAACACCGCGUGAGUGAAGAAGGGUUUCGGCUCGUAAAGCUCUGUUGUUGGAGAAGAACGUGCGUGAGAGUAACUGUUCACGCAGUGACGGUAUCCAACCAGAAAGUCACGGCUAACUACGUGCCAGCAGCCGCGGUAAUACGUAGGUGGCAAGCGUUAUCCGGAUUUAUUGGGCGUAAAGCGAGCGCAGGCGGUUGCUUAGGUCUGAUGUGAGAGCCUUCGGCUUAACCGAAGAAGUGCAUCGGAAACCGGGCGACUUGAGUGCAGAAGAGGACAGUGGAACUCCAUGUGUAGCGGUGGAAUGCGUAGAUAUAUGGAAGAACACCAGUGGCGAAGGCGGCUGUCUGGUCUGCAACUGACGCUGAGGCUCGAAAGCAUGGGUAGCGAACAGGAUUAGAUACCCUGGUAGUCCAUGCCGUAAACGAUGAGUGCUAGGUGUUGGAGGGUUUCCGCCCUUCA